rnacentral:rRNA from 1 species
CCUACGGGCGGCAGCAGUGGGGAAUAUUGCACAAUGGGGGAAACCCUGAUGCAGCGACGCCGCGUGAGUGAAGAAGUAUCUCGGUAUGUAAAGCUCUAUCAGCAGGGAAGAAAAUGCCGGUACCCGACUAAGAAGCCCCGGCUAACUACGUGCCAGCAGCCGCGGCAACACGUAGGGGGCAAGCGUUAUCCGGAUUUACUGGGUGUAAAGGGAGCGUAGACGGCCAGAAAAGUCAGAAGUGAAAGCCCAGGGCUCAACCCUGGGACUGCCUUUGAAACUUCCGGGCUGGAGUGCAGGAGAGGUAGGCGGAAUUCCUGGUGUAGCGGUGAAAUGCGUAGAUAUUA